rnacentral:rRNA from 1 species
AUAAGCUGCGAUAAGCUUCGGGGAGUUGCACGUAAACUUUGAUCCGAAGAUUUCCGAAUGAGGAAACUCACUUAGAGUAAUGUCUAAGUAUCAUUAAGUGAAUACAUAGCUUAAUGAGGGGAACUCAGGGAACUGAAACAUCUAAGUACCUGAAGGAAGAGAAAGAAAUUCGAUUCCGUAAGUAGCGGCGAGCGAACGCGGAUUAGCCCAAACCAAUAAAGUUUUCUUUAUUGGGGUUGAGGACAUACCACAUAUAAGAGGUCAUUAUAGACGAAGAAGUUUGGAAAAACUCAUCAUAGAAGGUAAUAAUCCUGUAGUCAAAAUAAUAAUUCUUUAGGUAUGAUCCAGAGUACCACGGGACACGUGAAACCCUGUGGGAAGCAGGAGGGACCACCCUCCAAGGCUAAAUACUACCUAGUGACCGAUAGCGUAUAGUACCGUGAGGGAAAGGUGAAAAGAACCCCGGGAGGGGAGUGAAAUAGAACCUGAAACCCUGCACUUACAAGCUGUGGAAGCACAUU